GAUGAACGCUGGCGGCGUGCCUAAUACAUGCAAGUCGAGCGAACGGACGAGAAGCUUGCUUCUCUGAUGUUAGCGGCGGACGGGUGAGUAACACGUGGAUAACCUACCUAUAAGACUGGGAUAACUUCGGGAAACCGUAGCUAAUACCGGAUAAUAUUUUGAACCGCAUGGUUCAAUAGUGAAAGACGGUCUUGCUGUCACUUAUAGAUGGAUCCGCGCUGCAUUAGCUAGUUGGUAAGGUAACGGCUUACCAAGGCAACGAUGCAUAGCCGACCUGAGAGGGUGAUCGGCCACACUGGAACUGAGACACGGUCCAGACUCCUACGGGAGGCAGCAGUAGGGAAUCUUCCGCAAUGGGCGAAAGCCUGACGGAGCAACGCCGCGUGAGUGAUGAAGGUCUUCGGAUCGUAAAACUCUGUUAUUAGGGAAGAACAAAUGUGUAAGUAACUGUGCACGUCUUGACGGUACCUAAUCAGAAAGCCACGGCUAACUACGUG
rnacentral:rRNA from 1 species